UAUUCCCCACUGCUGCCUCCCGUAGGAGUUUGGGCCGUGUCUCAGUCCCAAUGUGGCCGUUCAUCCUCUCAGACCGGCUACUGAUCAUCGCCUAGGUGAGCCGUUACCUCACCUACUAGCUAAUCAGACGCAGGCCCAUCUUCUGGCGAUAGCUUACAAGUAGAGGCCAUCUUUCAUCCUCUCUCCAUGCGGAAAGAGGAUCUCAUUCGGUAUUAGCAUUCCUUUCGGAAUGUUGUCCCCAACCAGAGGGCAGGUUGCCUACGCGUUACUCACCCGUUCGCCACUAAGAACAUUCCGAAGAAAGUUCUCCGUUCGACUUGCAUGUGUUAAGCACGCCGCCAGCGUUCAUCCUGAGCCAA
rnacentral:rRNA from 1 species